ensembl:miRNA mir200b microRNA mir-200b
GAGCAGCUUUAGGCGACUACCUCCAUCUUACGAGGCAGCAUUGGAUAUCAUCCCUUUCUCUAAUACUGCCUGGUAAUGAUGAUGGUCGUCACCUGCCC